rnacentral:rRNA from 1 species
CCUACGGGUGGCUGCAGUGGGGAAUAUUGCACAAUGGGCGCAAGCCUGAUGCAGCCAUGCCGCGUGUGUGAAGAAGGCCUUCGGGUUGUAAAGCACUUUCAGCGGGGAGGAAGGCGUUAAGGUUAAUAACUUUGGCGAUCGACGUUACCCGCAGAAGAAGCACCGGCUAACCCCGUGCCAGCAGCCGCGGUAAUACGGAGGGUGCAAGCGUUAAUCGGAAUUACUGGGCGUAAAGCGCACGCAGGCGGUCUGUCAAGUCGGAUGUGAAAUCCCCGGGCUCAACCUGGGAACUGCAUUCGAAACUGGCAGGCUAGAGUCUUGUAGAGGGGGGUAGAAUUCCAGGUGUAGCGGUGAAAUGCGUAGAGAUCUGGAGGAAUACCGGUGGCGAAGGCGGCCCCCUGGACAAAGACUGACGCUCAGGUGCGAAAGCGUGGGGAGCAAACAGGAUUAGAUACCCUAGUAGUC